AGCAUAUGAACGCGUCUCCAU
rnacentral:piRNA from 1 species